rnacentral:rRNA from 1 species
UACAGAGGUCCCGAGCGUUGUUCGGAUUCAUUGGGCGUAAAGGGUGCGUAGGCGGUCUUCUAAGUUUGAUGUGAAAUCCCGGGGCUCAACCCUGGAAUUGCAUUGAAUACUGGAGGACUAGAGUACUGGAGAGGAAACUGGAAUUUACGGUGUAGCAGUGAAAUGCGUAGAGAUCGUAAGGAAGACCAGUGGCGAAGGCGAGUUUCUGGACAGUAACUGACGCUGAGGCACGAAGGCCAGGGGGAGCAAACGGG